rnacentral:rRNA from 1 species
CCUUCGGGAAGAAGCGACCGGCGAACGGGUGCGUAACACGUAUGCAACCUACCCUAUACAGGGGGAUAGCCCGGAGAAAUCCGGAUUAAUACCCCAUACUACAUUUUACUGCAUGGUAGAAUGUUGAAAGCUGCGGCGGUAUAGGAUGGGCAUGCGUCCCAUUAGCUAGUUGGUGAGGUAAAGGCUCACCAAGGCGACGAUGGGUAGGGGGCCUGAGAGGGUGAUCCCCCACACUGGUACUGAGACACGGACCAGACUCCUACGGGAGGCAGCAGUAAGGAAUAUUGGUCAAUGGGCGCAAGCCUGAACCAGCCAUGCCGCGUGCAGGAAGACGGCCCUACGGGUUGUAAACUGCUUUUAUACGGGAAGAACUCCCCUUACGUGUAGGGGGCUGACGGUACCGUAAGAAUAAGGAUCGGCUAACUCCGUGCCAGCAGCCGCGGUAAUACGGAGGAUCCAAGCGUUAUCCGGAUUCAUUGGGUUUAAAGGGUGCGUAGGCGGUGCGUUAAGUCAGGGGUGAAAUUUGGCAGCUCAACUGUCAAACUGCCUUUGAUACUGGCGCGCUUGAAUGUGAUUGAGGUAGGCGGAAUGCGGCAUGUAGCGGUGAAAUGCGUAGAUAUGCCGCAGAACACCAAUAGCGAAGGCAGCUUACCAAGUCAUAAUUGACGCUGAUGCACGAAAGCGUGGGGAGCGAACAGGA